rnacentral:rRNA from 1 species
AACGCGUAGGUAAUCUAUCCUUACAUUUGGGAUAACAUCGGGAAACUGGUGCUAAUACCGAAUGGUCUUCAUUGCUUUGGGGCGAUGGAGUAAAGGUGGCCUCUUCAUGAAAGCUACCGUGUAGGGAUGAGCCUGCGUACCAUUAGCUAGUAGGUGGGGUAAUGGCCCACCUAGGCUACGAUGGUUAGCGGGUCUGAGAGGAUGAUCCGCCAUACUGGAACUGAAACACGGACCAG